UUCCUGUUCGUUCUGGAUCUCCUGCUAAAGACACCAGAUUCUCUCUGUACGACGACACAACAGCCAAAGUCUUCACCGUCACAAUCACUGAUCUGAGAACAGAGGAUGGAAACACUUACUGGUGUGGAAUAGAGCGGACAGGGCCUGAUAUUUACACAGAGCUUCUACUGCUGGUUAAAACGGCUAAUCCACUAAAUGAUGCUAACCAUCCAACCAUCGCUCCCUCACCUCAGGGUAUAAAUAAGUACAUCAUGAUCAGUACAGGUGUAGUGUUGUUGGCUGUUGGUGUGAUUAUAGCAAUCUACUGCAAAAUACAUCGUCAAGGUAAAACUCACUUUAAAUGUAUGUUUAUGAUUGAUUUAUGGUGUUUUAAUCUCACCCAGAACGACUGGACACACCUGUAAAUUAAAUUAAAGUCUUUGUUAUAAUCUCAGUGCUUCAUUUAAUACAUUGGAGUACACAAAACUCGUCACUGUCCCAAUACUCAGACUGCACUGUAUAUUUACUUUAUAUUAAAUUAAUCUUUGUUGCCCUUCUCAUCUCUCUACAGGCUCUGAAACAGUGACACGAUCUUCCACAGAGGUACAGGCCAAUGAUUUGCUUCAAUGUUUUACUUUCACAAAACACUUUACUUACAAACAUUUCAAUAAUUUUUGUUUUCUAUUUCAGGCAAAUGGAGAUUAUGACAAUGACCAGAAUUUACCUCCUCUCCAAGCGAAAGAAAAAGCCAAUUUACCUGAAUCUGUCUAUCAGAGUCUAGACCUAACCACCAACCAAUCAGUCUAUCAGAGUCUGACCUUUACUAAUAACCAAUAAGAUUCAGGAUGCCACUGUUCACCAUCCAACUGGACUGAUCUUAACCCAAAGCUAACUACAACAGUGUUUAUUUCCCCCCCCCAGUUAUUCUACCUGGCCUGUGGAUUACUCAUUUUCAGUUUUUUUUUCUUCUUCUUGUUUCUAAAUUGAGUUAUUUCCUUCACCUUGCAAAUGUCAUGGUCAUCUGAUGCCAAGUCUGGAUGUAACAAUGCUGUACAUAAAAUUGUUUUUCUUUUGAACACCUUGUCAUUUGUGGUUUGUAAAAAAGUUUUGUGGUCUAAAUUAUAUUUUCUUUAAUCAUGUCUUUAACCUUUAGCCUAUUUACAAAAUGCUGUUUUGGCAUCUCCAUGGUAUUUUACUAUACAUCAACAAAAAAACAAAGAAAAGCAUAUACUGUACCUUAGUUGCACAGGUUCAAAUGAUAUCUGGAAUCUCGGACAGGUUUC